rnacentral:rRNA from 1 species
UUCUUUGGAGAGUUUGAUCCUGGCUCAGGACGAACGCUGGCGGCGUGCCUAAUACAUGCAAGUCGAGCGGACCGGAUUGGGGCUUGCCUUGAUUCGGUCAGCGGCGGACGGGUGAGUAACACGUGGGCAACCUGCCCGCAAGACCGGGAUAACUCCGGGAAACCGGAGCUAAUACCGGAUAACACCGAAGGCCGCAUGGUCUUCGGUUGAAAGGCGGCCUUUGGGCUGUCACUUGCGGAUGGGCCCGCGGCGCAUUAGCUAGUUGGUGAGGUAACGGCUCACCAAGGCGACGAUGCGUAGCCGGCCUGAGAGGGUGACCGGCCACACUGGGACUGAGACACGGCCCAGACUCCUACGGGAGGCAGCAGUAGGGAAUCUUCCGCAAUGGGCGAAAGCCUG